UACGUAGGGGCAAGCGUUGUCCGGAAUUAUUGGGCGUAAGAGCGCGUAGGCGGUCCGAUAAGUCGGCUGUGAAAGUCAGGGGCUCAACCCUUGAAAGCCGGCCGAUACUGUCGGACUAGAGUCCGGAAGAGGCAAGUGGAAUUCCCGGUGUAGCGGUGAAAUGCGCAGAUAUCGGGAGGAACACCAAUGGCGAAGGCAGCUUGCUGGGACGGUACUGACGCUGAGGCGCGAAAGCGUGGGGAGUAAACAGG
rnacentral:rRNA from 1 species